UACGUGCUCCGGGGUCGGUGUAAUUCCGAACCGGCGGUAUAGUCCGCGAACCACUGGGCGUUCUCGUGCAAACGAGGAUAAACAGCGGCUGAACUGGUGAAAUUCCAGUACCGACAGUUAAAGUCUGGAUGGGAGAAGCACGUG
rnacentral:ncRNA from 2 species